rnacentral:rRNA from 1 species
UGGGGAAUUUUGGACAAUGGGCGAAAGCCUGAUCCAGCAAUGCCGCGUGUGUGAAGAAGGCCUUCGGGUUGUAAAGCACUUUUGUCCGGAAAGAAAUCCUUGGCUCUAAUACAGUCGGGGGAUGACGGUACCGGAAGAAUAAGCACCGGCUAACUACGUGCCAGCAGCCGCGGUAAUACGUAGGGUGCAAGCGUUAAUCGGAAUUACUGGGCGUAAAGCGUGCGCAGGCGGUUUGCUAAGACCGAUGUGAAAUCCCCGGGCUCAACCUGGGAACUGCAUUGGUGACUGGCAGGCUAGAGUAUGGCAGAGGGGGGUAGAAUUCCACGUGUAGCAGUGAAAUGCGUAGAGAUGUGGAGGAAUACCGAUGGCGAAGGCAGCCCCCUGGGCCAAUACUGACGCUCAUGCACGAAAGCGUGGGGAGCAAACAGGAUUAGAUACCCUGGUAGUCCACGCCCUAAACGAUGUCAACUAGUUGUUGGGGAUUCAUUCCUUAGUAACGUAGCUAACGCGUGAAGUUGACCGCCUGGGGAGUACGGUCGCAAGAUUAAAAC